GAUCCUGGCUCAGAUUGAACGCUGGCGGCAGGCCUAACACAUGCAAGUCGAGCGGUAGCACAGAGAGCUUGCUCUCGGGUGACGAGCGGCGGACGGGUGAGUAAUGUCUGGGAAACUGCCUGAUGGAGGGGGAUAACUACUGGGAAAACGGUAGCUAAUACCGCAUAACGUCGCAAGACCAAAGUGGGGGACCUUCGGGCCUCNUGCCAUCAGAUGUGCCCAGAUGGGAUUAG
rnacentral:rRNA from 1 species